AACGAACGCUGGCGGCAGGCUUAACACAUGCAAGUCGAGCGAGACCUUUGGGUCUAGCGGCGGACGGGUGAGUAACGCGUGGGAACGUGCCCUUCUCUACGGAAUAGCCCCGGGAAACUGGGAGUAAUACCGUAUACGCCCUUUGGGGGAAAGAUUUAUCGGAGAAGGAUCGGCCCGCGUUGGAUUAGGUAGUUGGUGGGGUAAUGGCCCACCAAGCCGACGAUCCAUAGCUGGUUUGAGAGGAUGAUCAGCCACACUGGGACUGAGACACGGCCCAGACUCCUACGGGAGGCAGCAGUGGGGAAUCUUAGACAAUGGGGGCAACCCUGAUCUAGCCAUGCCGCGUGAGUGAUGAAGGCCUUAGGGUUGUAAAGCUCUUUCAGCUGGGAAGAUAAUGACGGUACCAGCAGAAGAAGCCCCGGCUAACUCCGUGCCAGCCGCCGCGGUAACAC
rnacentral:rRNA from 1 species